UACGUAGGGGGCAAGCGUUGUCCGGAAUCAUUGGGCGUAAAGAGCGCGUAGGCGGCCCGGUAAGUCCGCUGUGAAAGUCAAGGGCUCAACCCUUGAAUGCCGGUGGAUACUGUCGGGCUAGAGUCCGGAAGAGGCGAGUGGAAUUCCUGGUGUAGCGGUGAAAUGCGCAGAUAUCAGGAGGAACACCCGUGGCGAAAGCGGCUCUCUGGGACGGUACUGACGCUGAGACGCGAAAGCGUGGGGAGCAAACAGG
rnacentral:rRNA from 1 species